rnacentral:rRNA from 1 species
UGGGGAAUAUUGGACAAUGGGCGAAAGCCUGAUCCAGCCAUGCCGCGUGUGUGAAGAAGGUCUUCGGAUUGUAAAGCACUUUAAGUUGGGAGGAAGGGCAGUAAGCGAAUACCUUGCUGUUUUGACGUUACCGACAGAAUAAGCACCGGCUAACUCUGUGCCAGCAGCCGCGGUAAUACAGAGGGUGCAAGCGUUAAUCGGAAUUACUGGGCGUAAAGCGCGCGUAGGUGGUUCGUUAAGUUGAAUGUGAAAGCCCCGGGCUCAACCUAGGAACUGCAUCCAAAACUGGCGGGCUAGAGUAGGGCAGAGGGUGGUGGAAUUUCCUGUGUAGCGGUGAAAUGCGUAGAUAUAGGAAGGAACACCAGUGGCGAAGGCGACCACCUGGGCUCAUACUGACACUGAGGUGCGAAAGCGUGGGGAGCAAACAGG